rnacentral:tRNA from 1 species
GGAGGUAUUUCUCAUUGGUAGAGCAUGUGCUUAAUAUACACAAGGCCCUAGAUUCAAUAAUCAGGUACCUCCA